GAUUAACCUCAUAUCCUUUCCUACACUAUUCUCCUAUAGUGACUGUAAUUGCUAAUUUUUUUGUAUCCAAAAUUGAUGCGGCUACAUUGUAUUUUUACUUUUCUUUAUUGUAUUAUUUACUUUAUUUUAUAAUUGAUUUUUCACACAUUGAUUUUUCCCUCAAUGUGUUUUCCGAGGAUAAAUAAACUAAAAUCAAAAAUCAAAUCAGUUAUCAUGCAUAUUCUUUUUAAUCAAAGUUAAAACUGACCUUACUUCUUUUUUAUGAAUAAUAUUAUUUCACGGUAUGUUUGGCCGGUGUUUACUCACUAAAGUUUGUAAAUACCCCUGGGGGGAAUGGCAUUUAGGUCAAUAUUUUCAGUCAGUAUGUACAAGGAUCUUGUGAUGAAAAGCAAACAGUCCCAAUGAGUAAAUGUAAGAAUUCAGUUAGUGUGAUUGUUUGUUUGCUUGUUUUGGUAUGUUGAGAGAUGCUAUAAAAGGAGCAGUCCCAGUCCAGAUAGAGAACACAUUCUGAAGACAUUGUAUCCUUGCAUCUAGCUGAAUACCUGCAAAAAAUGGCUUCCUUCAAGUUAUCAGUGAUUGCCUUAUUGGCCAUUGGGCUUUACCUGGACACGGUCUGUGCUGCUUCUAUAACCUUGGAAGAAGAAGCUGAGAUAAUAGUGAACAGUACAAUAACUGACCUUACAGAAUCAACUUCUGCGAUUCUAAGCAGUGACGCUGCGGUCGAUUUGGAACAAUUGAUUGAGGAAAUUAACAACACUGCAGCGAUGAAAGAGCUUGAUGCACAAAUUGUUGAACUUCUAAACAGUGACGCUGUGGUUGAAUUGGAACAAAAGGAUGCGGAAUUUCUAAACAGUUCAGUGGUGACUGACGUUUAUGAUGCAGUUGCCAAACUUGUAAACAGUACAGCUAUGGCUGAACUAGGAGAAGCACUCCAGGCAGUUCUGGAAAGUCCAGAUAUGGAAAAGAUUUCUACAGCAUUGGAGAAUAUUCUGGAAUCGGACGAUUUUGCUUCUCUACGUGUUGCAUUGAAAGUGGCUUCUGACCAGGAGGAGAGUGCAUUUGUCACCGAAGAAGACGCUGAAUUAUCUCCUUCUCUUAAGGGAUUUGCACAGUGCUUGGAAUCUUCUGCUCAGUAGUGGCUUUUGGUCCACUUCCUACAGAGGUGCACUCUCCUUGCUACCUCGGAACGCAUCUUUCAAGCAUCUCCACGGUGAACAGGAACCAAAUGCUGUGAUGUUCUUUUUCUCUUCUCAAGAUAACUGAAAAGUGAUCAACCUUAAAAUAAAAACUUUCUUGCAUUCAAUUGUUGUGUAUUUCGUGGAAUUAUUUUGUGAAACUUUAUUGUAAAUUGAAUUCAGUAUGUUUCUCUUGGUAUAUGGGUUGGAACAGGUCAACGC
ensembl:lncRNA